GCUCUCCUGCAAGAGUGGGACAGUUAGACCCCGUGUCUCCCCAAGGCAGAGACAGCCUUGGCCAUGCCUCGGGAUAGCGGAGCCCAGCCCUCCAUGAUGCUUGCAAACACCCUCUCUGUGAAAGAUCCACAUCAGUCUCUCAGGCAGCCUGACACACUUCAUAUGAAGACGCUUGCUUGUCCCAAGCUGAGAUGUGGCGGAGUUCAUGGGCUGGGGCUGGGCCCUUGGGAGACAGUGGGAGCUGUAAGAACUUCUAAGAGGCAAGUGAGAGCAGCAGUGGAGGACAGGUAGGAACAGGGCAUCCGAUGACAACGGUUCUGUGAGCUCAACACUGGACUCACAGCCAAGAGUCAGGUAAGCGGCUUAGGGCCCAACUAUCCCCACCCUGACUGGGAUCUUCAAACAGUGUCCACACGGCCAUGAGCAGAACCCCCAUCGGGUGACCGGCCUUGGGAAGUGCCCCAGAACAAAGCAGGUGCCUUACCAUGUUGUUCUCGAGGUUUUCGCCGUCUUUCAGUUUCACAGGGUCGAUCUCACAGGACUUGUGGCUCUGGCAGAUCUGGAAGAGCGUUAAGAGGUGCUGCACGAGGCGGCCAGAUGGAGCCGUGGAUGGCUUCCCGAGGAAGCUGGCCCUCCUGGAGGCAGCUUCCACAAUGGUUGCUGGACAGCUACAGGCAUGGGGAAGUAUCGCUAGACUUGGGCUGGGCUGCAGCUGCCUUAAGGACCAUUCUUGACCCCACAGAGCCCCCACGUGAUCCCAGAGUCCCGUGAGGUCCCACAGAAUGGACAGUUGCUCCUACAUGAAUUGCUGGGAGGGACCAGUGAAGCACAGAGGCAAGGCCAGGAAGCACAGCCCUCCCUCUGUCCUAGCCAGGCAGUGGGCAUUGCCCCAGGGCCGCAGCACUUGGUUUACUGGUGAAGAGAUGCCUCAGAGGUUUAGGAACAUUCCUCCUCUCGAGUGCUGCAAGGGUUCUGCUCAUAGGUGAAUCACUAUUCUAGUUUACAUUUUCACACAAAGUAAAGAACCUGCUUUUCACAACCCACCUUACUGGAAAGGCAUCCAACAAAAGUCAUGUGAGGGGUGGAGUUAUGAGAAGGGAGUUUGGAUAUAAAAGACACUAUGUCUACCCAUCUAUAUAUAAUCUAUCUAUCCAUCUACAUAUGAUCUAUCAAUCAUCUCUAUGUAUCUAUCCAUCAUCUAUAUCUAUCCUAUCAUCAUCUGUCAAUCAUCUCUAUCUAUCAAUCAUCUCUAUCUAUCUCUAUAUUAUCUAUCAUCUAUAUUUACCUAUCCAUUAUCUAUCAUCUAUCAAUCAUCUAUAUCUAUCUGUCUCUAUAUUAUCUAUCUAUCCAUCUAUCACCUAUACCUAUCUAUUCAUCUAUAUAUUAUCUAUUAUAUAUCAAUCAUCUAUAUUUAUCUAUCUCUACAUUAUCUAAUCAUCUCUUAUCUAUUCAUCUAUAUAUUAUCUAUCAUCUAUCAGUCAUCUCUAUCUAUCAAUCAUCUAUAUCCAUCCUUCCAUCAAUCUAUUCAUAUCCAUCAUCUACAUCCAUAAAUCCAUUCGAAGGCAGAGAGGAUUCUGGGAUACAUACAGCAUGUCCUCUAUGAGAGCUAAUGAGGUCCCUGUGGAUAGCUCUGUCUCAUAUAGAAGCCCCGAUCACCAUGCUGAAGUGACCAGGGCUAUCUCACCUCCUCAAUGGUGGGCUUCAGGGUCACAUGGAGAUAGUGCAUGCCUGCCAGCUUCAUCGUCUCAUCUAUGCACUUGGAUGUCAGUGAGUUUCCUCGGAAGAUGGUAUUGGGGUCCCUGGAAAACAGCAAUGGGGUGAUAUCUGCCUUGUCACGGCACGAAGGGAGCAAAGUCUCCUGAGUGGGGCCACUGAGUGGGUCAUGGAUGCUGGCUGGCAGGGGCUCUGUGGGAAAUGCUCUAUCUCAACAGUUCUUCUGCUACUGAUGUGCAGAGCUGGAUGGACCAGCAAAAGCCCCAGACUGCAAAGCCAGGUCAUCACUGGCUGCUGAUCAGCACAGCCCCUUCACUCUGGUUCCUUCCUUAUCAAGGGCAUCUUGGGAUAAACCUUGCUAUUCCGGGGGGCAGGGGAAGAACAUCCAGUAGUGGGGAUCUCCAGGGAAACUUGGAGCUCACCAGGGAUGACAGAACUGGUCCUUGAAGCCUGGGACCCAGUCUACCCCCUCCCCACCCUUUCUGGAUCUUUCCAGAAAUGCUACCUUCUGAGAGGACCAAUAAGGAAAUCUGUUAAAGAGGGUCAGAGACCUGUUUGGCUCCUGAAGAGCCUGACACCCUCACUUCCUACCAAUGCUGUGCACAGAUGCAGUUUAGGAUGGCUACUUUUGAAGUCUAACCACUGGGUACCCAGGGGCCCAGCUUCCCAUCCAGGAUAUAGACAGGUGGGGGGCAGCAGAGUCAAGUGGAAGGUACAAAGAAUGGGAGUGGAUCUCUGUAUGAGGCUGGGGUACAGGGAAAGCAGCAUGGAGGUAGGAGGAGCGUGAGGUGGAUGGGGCAUGAGGUGGGAGGGGCAUGAGCUGGGAGGAACAGGAGGUGGGAGGAGCAGGAGGUGGAAGGGGGCAUGAGGUGGGAGGAGCAUGACGUAGAAGGGGCAUGGGGUAGGAGGAACAUGGGGUGGGAGGAGCAUGGAGUGGGAGGGACAUGGGAUGAGCAUGAGGUAGAAGGGGCUUGAGGUGAGAAGAGCAGGAGGUGGGAGGGGUCCGAGGGGGAGGGGCGUGAAGGGGUGGGGCAGCAGGGCGAACUCACUGGGUCCUCUUCACCUCUGCGCUAGCGAUGGCACUGAUGAAGGGCACUACCCUGCCAUAGUGCAGCAGGAGCCGUACCAGCGGGAUGGCUGCCUCUUGCUUGUCUCUGCACACCUCACCCAGGAUGUGAGCUGCUGAGGCUGAGACAGGCUGGGCAGAGGGGCAGGAUGAGCAGUGAGCACAUGAUGUGGUACCCACCCUCAGCAGGCUGUGUCCCAUCCACAGGCUAGCACCUGGUGACUCCAGACCUUCACCCUAUGGUCACAUACAUGACAGCACAGGGAGGCCAACCUGUAGAGGGACUCACCCCUUCCGUGGGUUCCUUUCCAUCUACUAAAUAACCCAUGGCUCUUUGCCGAGAAACUCACACCUAUGAAAAUCUGUGUUAACACCCCUAGUGCAGAGGUUCUCAACCUUCCUAACACUAUAAGCAUUCAAUACAGGUCCUCAAGUUGUGGUGAUUCCCCCACAACCAUAAAAUUAUUUUCGUUGCUA